CGAGCGAACAGAUGAGGAGCUUGCUCCUCUGACGUUAGCGGCGGACGGGUGAGUAACACGUGGAUAACCUACCUAUAAGACUGGGAUAACUUCGGGAAACCGGAGCUAAUACCGGAUAAUAUAUUGAACCGCAUGGUUCAAUAGUGAAAGACGGUUUUGCUGUCACUUAUAGAUGGAUCCGCGCCGCAUUAGCUAGUUGGUAAGGUAACGGCUUACCAAGGCAACGAUGCGUAGCCGACCUGAGAGGGUGAUCGGCCACACUGGAACUGAGACACGGUCCAGACUCCUACGGGAGGCAGCAGUAGGGAAUCUUCCGCAAUGGGCGAAAGCCUGACGGAGCAACGCCGCGUGAGUGAUGAAGGUCUUCGGAUCGUAAAACUCUGUUAUUAGGGAAGAACAAAUGUGUAAGUAACUAUGCACGUCUUGACGGUACCUAAUCAGAAAGCCACGGCUAACUACGUGCCAGCAGCCGCGGUAAUACGUAGGUGGCAAGCGUUAUCCGGAAUUAUUGGGCGUAAAGCGCGCGUAGGCGGUUUUUUAAGUCUGAUGUGAAAGCCCACGGCUCAACCGUGGAGGGUCAUUGGAAACUGGAAAACUUGAGUGCAGAAGAGGAAAGUGGAAUUCCAUGUGUAGCGGUGAAAUGCGCAGAGAUAUGGAGGAACACCAGUGGCGAAGGCGACUUUCUGGUCU
rnacentral:rRNA from 1 species